AGAACUGGGUAUUGCCAUGGGCGAAGCCUGAUGCAGCGACGCCGCGUGAGGGAUGACGGCCUUCGGGUUGUAAACCUCUUUCAGUAGGGAAGAAGCGAAAGUGACGGUACCUGCAGAAGAAGCGCCGGCUAACUACGUGCCAGCAGCCGCGGUAAUACGUAGGGCGCAAGCGUUAUCCGGAAUUAUUGGGCGUAAAGAGCUCGUAGGCGGUUUGUCGCGUCUAUCGUGAAAGUCCGAGGCUCAACCUCGGAUCUGCGGUGGGUACGGGCAGACUAGAGUGAUGUAGGGGAGACUGGAAUUCCUGGUGUAGCGGUGAAAUGCGCAGAUAUCAGGAGGAACACCGAUGGCGAAGGCAGGUCUCUGGGCAUUAACUGACGCUGAGGAGCGAAAGCAUGGGGAGCGAACAGGAUUAGAUACCCUGGUAGUCCAUGCCGUAAACGUUGGGCACUAGGUGUGGGGGACAUUCCACGUUUUCCGCGCCGUAGCUAACGCAUUAAGUGCCCCGCCUGGGGAGUACGGCCGCAAGGCUAAAACUCAAAGGAAUUGACGGGGGCCCGCACAAGCGGCGGAGCAUGCGGAUUAAUUCGAUGCAACGCGAAGAACCUUACCAAGGCUUGACAUGUGCCAGACCGCCGUGGAAACACGGUUUCCCCUUUGGGGCUGGUUCACAGGUGGUGCAUGGUUGUCGUCAGCUCGUGUCGUGAGAUGUUGGGUUAAGUCCCGCAACGAGCGCAACCCUCGUUCCAUGUUGCCAGCGCGUAAAGGCGGGGACUCAUGGGAGACUGCCGGGGUCAACUCGGAGGAAGGUGGGGACGACGUCAAAUCAUCAUGCCCCUUAUGUCUUGCGCUUCACGCAUGCUACAAUGGUCCGGUACAAUGAUUGCGAUACUGUGAGGUGCAGCUAAUCCCAAAAGCCGGUCUCAGUUCGGAUUGGGGUCUGCAACUCGACCCCAUGA
rnacentral:rRNA from 1 species